AAGUUAGAAAGGGCGCACGGUGGAUGCCUUGACUCUAGGAGUCGAUGAAGGACGGGACUAACGCCGAUAUGCUUCGGGGAGCUGUAAGUAAGCUUUGAUCCGAAGAUUUCCGAAUGGGGAAACCCACCAUACGUAAUGGUAUGGUAUCCUUAUCUGAAUACAUAGGGUAAGGAAGACAGACCCAGGGAACUGAAACAUCUAAGUACCUGGAGGAAGAGAAAGCAAAUGCGAUUUCCUGAGUAGCGGCGAGCGAAACGGAACAUAGCCCAAACCAAGAGGCUUGCCUCUUGGGGUUGUAGGACAUUCUAUACGGAGUUACAAAGGAACGAGGUAGACGAAGCGACCUGGAAAGGUCCGUCGUAGAGGGUAACAACCCCGUAGUCGAAACUUCGUUCUCUCUUGAAUGUAUCCUGAGUGACGGCGGAACACGUGAAAUUCCGUCGGAAUCUGGGAG
rnacentral:rRNA from 1 species